rnacentral:rRNA from 1 species
UACGAGGGGUGCAAGCGUUAUUCGGAAUCAUUGGGCGUAAAGGGUGCGUAGACGGCGUAGUAAGUUAGUUGUUAAAUUUCCCGGCCUAACCGGGAGCCUGCGAUUAAAACUACUAUGCUAGAGGAUAGGAGAGAGAAGUGGAAUUCCGGGUGUAGCGGUGGAAUGCGUAGAGAUCCGGAAGAACACCGGUGGCGAAGGCGGCCUGCUGGGCAGUAGCUGACGCUGAUGCGCGACAGCGUGGGGAGUAAAC